CGGCCACAUUGGGACUGAGAUACGGCCCAGACUCCUACGGGAGGCAGCAGUGGGGAAUAUUGGGCAAUGGGCGCAAGCCUGACCCAGCAACGCCGCGUGAAGGAAGAAGGCUUUCGGGUUGUAAACUUCUUUUAAGAGGGAAGAGCAGAAGACGGUACCUCUAGAAUAAGCCACGGCUAACUACGUGCCAGCAGCCGCGGUAAUACGUAGGUGGCAAGCGUUGUCCGGAUUUACUGGGUGUAAAGGGCGUGCAGCCGGGCAUGCAAGUCAGAUGUGAAAUCUCAGGGCUUAACCCUGAAACUGCAUUUGAAACUGUAUGUCUUGAGUGCCGGAGAGGUAAUCGGAAUUCCUUGUGUAGCGGUGAAAUGCGUAGAUAUAAGGAAGAACACCAGUGGCGAAGGCGGAUUACUGGACGGUAACUGACGGUGAGGCGCGAAAGCGUGGGGAGCGAACAGGAUUAGAUACCCUGGUAGUCCACGCUGUAAACGAUGGAUACUAGGUGUGCGGGGACUGACCCCCUGCGUGCCGCAGUUAACACAAUAAGUAUCCCACCUGGGGAGUACGAUCGCAAGGUUGAAACUCAAAGGAAUUGACGGGGGCCCGCACAAGCGGUGGAUUAUGUGGUUUAAUUCGAAGCAACGCGAAGAACCUUACCAGGGCUUGACAUCCCACUAACGAAGUAGAGAUACAUUAGGUGCCCUUCGGGGAAAGUGGAGACAGGUGGUGCAUGGUUGUCGUCAGCUCGUGUCGUGAGAUGUUGGGUUAAG
rnacentral:rRNA from 1 species